ensembl:lncRNA
CUUUGGGCAGCUCAGUUCACAAGGGUGGCGCCAGUGAAUAUACAGUGUCUCGUGGCUACACAAACCGCCGGAAAACUCUAUAAAAGCAUCACACAAUGUACAUGGACUGCAAGGAAAGAACGCUAAUGUACACCGAGCAUCUGAAGAACAACAUGCAAGUCCUCCAGCACAUUGAAUCCAAAACCUGUUCCAGUUCCUCAGACACCAUCAGAGACUGUUUUGAAAGCUCUCUACUAUCGAUCUGGAUAAAAAGAAACUUUGCCAACCACUGAGCGUCAUUGGUUUUCGAUUGAUGGAACUCCUUUCAGAUUUACAUACUGCUGUUGUGGAGAGCCUAACUAUAGCCACAGAGAGCACUGCCUACACAUGAACUGGGCAGGUCGGCCUCCUGUCUUUUUGUCAGUGCUACAGAAUGUCCAGAAAGCUGCAGAAGAAGAAAUGUGAGCCGUGGGU